rnacentral:rRNA from 1 species
GGGCGGGGCCUACGGGAGGCAGCAGUAGGGAAUAUUGGACAAUGGGGGAAACCCUGAUCCAGCAACGCCGCGUGGAGGACGAAGGCCUUCGGGUCGUAAACUCCUGUCAGAUGGGACGAAAAGGCCUUGUUCAAUAGGCAAGGUUCAUGACGGUACCACCAGAGGAAGCCCCGGCUAACUCCGUG